GUUCACAGCUAUGUGGACCUCUGAUGAGCUGUGAAGGUGGGGGAGAAGUGUGGGAAGGAAAAGACAGUGAGAGAAAGUGAGAAGACAGUUCUACUGACAGAUAAGAAUUAAGCAUCAAACCUUGUAUCUGCAAUCAUCAGACUCAUAAUACAGAGUAAUCUAGACAAAUUGGCAUAGUAGUUUAGUUCAGUCAUCCUGAAGCAACUUGAGGGAUCAGGAGUUUAUGGGAAAAACUAUUGGCAUAAAGCUUAUGAGCACUGUCUAGCAUCUGUGUCCAGAGACAGCCUUAUUUUUGUGAAGCUACAAGUGAACUUUUAACUUAUUCUAAGGGAUGACUGUGGCUACCCAGGAAAGAUGAGGUCUAGGAUCCAUACAGCACUAUUUAAAAGAAGAAAAGGAAAA